AACGAACGCUGGCGGCAUGCCUAACACAUGCAAGUCGAACGAAACCUUCGGGUCUAGUGGCGCACGGGUGCGUAACGCGUGGGAACCUGCCCUUAGGUUCGGAAUAACUCCCCGAAAGGGGUGCUAAUACCGGCUAAUGUCUUCGGACCAAAGCUUUAUCGCCUUUGGAUGGGCCCGCGUUGGAUUAGCUAGUUGGUAGGGUAAAAGCCUACCAAGGCGACGAUCCAUAGCUGGUCUGAGAGGAUGAUCAGCCACACUGGGACUGAGACACGGCCCAGACUCCUACGGGAGGCAGCAGUGGGGAAUAUUGGACAAUGGGCGAAAGCCUGAUCCAGCAAUGCCGCGUGAGUGAUGAAGGCCUUAGGGUUGUAAAGCUCUUUUACCCGGGAUGAUAAUGACAGUACCGGGAGAAUAAGCUCCGGCUAACUCCGUG
rnacentral:rRNA from 1 species